CAGAGGUCGCCCUUCUCCUGGACCUCAGGGAGGAAUGGCCCCGUUGCUGUGGAGAAAGGUGGAGGGGAAGGCUGAGAGGUGGUGUCUCCAGCCUCCUUGGACAAGGGAGGAGCUUCGCUGCUUUUUUAAGGUACCAUACAGAGAUUUUUGGAGGGUAUUGUGUACAACUAGUCACCUAGGUAGUCAGAGUUAUUCAGAUACAAAAUGCCUCUACCCUUGGCGAGAGCCUAGUAAACAUUACCUUCUUUCUCCACACAUUUAUGUAAAGUAGAACGUUAGAGUCAGCUUUGUGAGUUUCAUUAUGCUCAGUAAGGAAUAAGGGAAAUAGAGUUUACAUAGCGCCAUGACAGGAAUGAUAAAACAUCCGUUAGAUCGCACCGAAGCUGGAGGACGAAAGAGGAAUUUUGUCUCACAGAAAAUGCCUCUCCUGCCUGUGUAAUCGUGCAGUCAUAUAUAAGUCUAUAAGUACAUUUGGCUUGGCUCUGGAAAUGUUUACCCUGAAGACACAUAGAGCAGAUAGCUCUUCAGUUGCUGAAUUUAAGUCCUGUCUGAAAAGGAAAGGGAGAAGGUGUGGCUCCAGCAUGA
rnacentral:lncRNA from 1 species